rnacentral:rRNA from 1 species
UACGGAAGGCAGCAGUGGGGAAUAUUGCACAAUGGGCGCAAGCCUGAUGCAGCCAUGCCGCGUGUAUGAAAAAGGCCUUCGGGUUGUAAAGUACUUUCAGUCGUGAGGAAGGUGUUAAGGUUAAUAACCUUAGCAAUUGACGUUAGCGACAGAAGAAGCACCGGCUAACUCCGUGCCAGCAGCCGCGGUAAUAUGGAGGGUGCGAGCGUUAAUCGGAAUUACUGGGCGUAAAGGGCACGCAGGCGGUUAAUUAAGUUGGAUGUGAAAUCCCCGGGCUUAACCUGGGAAUGGCAUUCAAGACUGGUUAGCUAGAGUCUUGUAGAGGGGGUAGAAUUCCAUGUGUAGCGGUGAAAUGCGUAGAGAUGUGGAGGAAUACCGGUGGCGAAGGCGGCCCCUGGGACAAAGACUGACGCUCAUGUGCGAAAGCGUGGGGAGCAAACAGGAUUAGAUACC